UACGUAGGAGACGAGCAUUGUCCGGAAUCACUGGGCGUAAAGCGCGUGUAGGCGGAUGAGCAAGUCUGCUGUGAAAGCUCCUGGCUUAACCGGGAGAGGUCGGUGGAAACUGCUCGUCUGGAGGACGGUAGAGGCUGGUGGAAUUCCCGGUGUAGUGGUGAAAUGCGUAGAGAUCGGGAGGAACACCUGUGGCGAAGGCGGCCAGCUGGGCCGGACCUGACGCUGAGACGCGAAGGCGUGGGGAGCGAACGGG
rnacentral:rRNA from 1 species